AGCAGGUUGUAAAUUCUUAAAAUCUCCUCCCUCUCUCUCUCUCUCUCUCUGAUUUCAAAAGUUAAACUGCUAGAAACAACAACAUGUCUCCUCCUUCACAGUGAAGUCCACUUUUUGGCACCAAACUAGUUGUGAUGUCACAAAUCAUCCUCGUAGGGACACAACUCAAACAGAGUGUCAUGAUGAGCUCAUAGAAACUUUUCCCCCUUUAACAGCCGAUGAACGGGAACACAGUCUUCUUGUGUCAAAGUCUGUACAGUGAAACUCAAACAAAUGGAGGUGGGUUUUUUUCCAGGUUGGGGGGGGGGGGGACUUAAAAGUUCACCACAGUAAUCAUAAUCACAUGAGUUCAUUUCAGUUACAUUUAUUUUUCGCCUCUUCUCAUUGGGACUCAGCAGGGCGAUUUUGUGCAAAGCUAUAACGGAAACAUAUUGAGGGUUUCAAACUUCCUGCUGCUCCUUUCCUUCUACCUUCUACUGCUGUGACUGCCAGAAGCAGAUGUUCUGGCUGACCUUGUGACUUCAAGGUAGAUAUGUGGUCUGCUGAGGUUAGCCUUGGGACCUUGGACGCAGUGACUAUACAACCAGACAAAGUGUUUCUCCAGGACUGAGGAAAGUUUGGACCAAGAAAGAAGAAAAAUGCAACAUCCAGUUCGGCAACCUCACAUAAAUUACAUCAGCACUGGCCCCUAUGUUAUUGUGGCCACACCAAGUGUGUAUUUUAUGGCACUCAAAUACUGAAUAAAGCAAGAAAAAUCUCAUUCAUCCUAGUAUAAUUUGGCAAUCCUCUACGGCAGUAUUUACCCUGUCAAAAAAACGUGCAGACAAAACAGGCACUUAGCUCUUACCUAGAGCUAGAAACAUCAGACCUGAAGCGUCUUCCUCUGGGUGUGUAUGGUCCCCAUUGGUAAAUUAAACUAAACUUAUCAUAUUUGAA